rnacentral:rRNA from 1 species
AUUGAACGCUGGCGGCAUGCCUUACACAUGCAAGUCGAACGGCAGCACGGGUGCUUGCACCUGGUGGCGAGUGGCGAACGGGUGAGUAAUACAUCGGAACAUGUCCUGUAGUGGGGGAUAGCCCGGCGAAAGCCGGAUUAAUACCGCAUACGAUCUACGGAUGAAAGCGGGGGACCUUCGGUCCUCGCGCUAUAGGGUUGGCCGAUGGCUGAUUAGCUAGUUGGUGGGGUAAAGGCCUACCAAGGCGACGAUCAGUAGCUGGUCUGAGAGGACGACCAGCCACACUGGGACUGAGACACGGCCCAGACGCCUACGGGAGGCAGCAGUGGGGAAUUUUGGACAAUGGGCGAAAGCCUGAUCCAGCAAUGCCGCGUGUGUGAAGAAGGCCUUCGGGUUGUAAAGCACUUUUGUCCGGAAAGAAAUCCUUGGCCCUAAUACGGUCGGGGGAUGACGGUACCGGAAGAAUAAGCACCGGCUAACUACGU